GCCAGUGUGGUGUAGUGGUUUGAGUGUUGAACUACAACUGGGAAGACCAGGAUUCAAUUCCCAGCUCAGCCA